rnacentral:rRNA from 1 species
CACAAUGGGCGCAAGCCUGAUGCAGCAACGCCGCGUGAGGGACGAAGGCCUUCGGGUUGUAAACCUCUUUUAGUAGGGAAGAAGCGACUGGGUUUUCCUGGGAGUGACGGUACCUGCAGAAAAAGCACCGGCUAACUACGUGCCAGCAGCCGCGGUAAUACGUAGGGUGCAAGCGUUGUCCGGAAUUAUUGGGCGUAAAGAGCUCGUAGGCGGUUUGUCGCGUCUGCUGUGAAAACCCGAGGCUCAACCUCGGGCCUGCAGUGGGUACGGGCAGACUAGAGUGCGGUAGGGGAGAUUGGAAUUCCUGGUGUAGCGGUGGAAUGCGCAGAUAUCAGGAGGAACACCAAUGGCGAAGGCAGAUCUCUGGGCCGUAACUGACGCUGAGGAGCGAAAGCAUGGGGAGCGAACAGGAUUAGAUACCCUGGUAGUCCAUGCCGUAAACGUUGGGAACUAGAUGUGGGGACCAUUCCACGGUCUCCGUGUCGCAGCUAACGCAUUAAGUUCCCCGCCUGGGGAGUACGGCCGCAAGGCUAAAACUCAAAGGAAUUGACGGGGGCCCGCACAAGCGGCGGAGCAUGCGGAUUAAUUCGAUGCAACGCGAAGAACCUUACCAAGGCUUGACAUAUACCGGAAACGGCUGGAAACAGUCGCCCCGCAAGGUCGGUAUACAGGUGGUGCAUGGUUGUCGUCAGCUCGUGUCGUGAGAUGUUGGGUUAAGUCCCGCAACGAGCGCAACCCUCGUCCUAUGUUGCCAGCACGUAAUGGUGGGAACUCAUGGGAUACUGCCGGGGUCAACUCGGAGGAAGGUGGGGAUGACGUCAAAUCAUCAUGCCCCUUAUGUCUUGGGCUUCACGCAUGCUACAAUGGCCGGUACAAAGGGCUGCGAUACCGCAAGGUGGAGCGAAUCCCAAAAAGCCGGUCUCAGCUCGGAUUGAGGUCUGCAACUCGACCUCAUGAAGUCGGAGUCGCUAGUAAUCGCAGAUCAGCAACGCUGCGGUGAAUACGUUCCCGGGCCUUGUACACACCGCC